UUUCAUUCAGCUAGGCAAAAAGGCUUUGAGCAGCCCCACAAUUGCUUUUCUCUCAUUUAUUUGUGCUAGAAUUAAGGUUUAUUUGUUUUCUGUUUUCUUCUUCUUCAGAUUGUUUCUCUGUCUUUAUCCAUUUAACAAACUGUUUCCUCCUGUAUCUCAGAAGGAUGCACCUAUAGGGCCUACAUCUCUGUCUGCAGUCUGCAUACCUUCUUCUUUUGAGUGCUUUUCUCUCAACUCAUUUUGCUGGAGCUCCUAAAUAUCUCUCAAGGAAUAAGAAGAAAGUAGGCAGAAGAAGAUUCCAAAUGCAUGCUUGAUGAUCAUGGAGCUGAGAUCAAAGUGCCUCCAAACCACUGACACAAACUUGGUGAUCAGGAAGUCUGGUACCUGCACACCUCUGAUGGGAGGUCCUGAGUCUACCUGACCUGAGUCCACUUGUCAGCUGGGAGUCCUACAGGUGCUGAACUUGUGGUUAUUCCUUUGGCUCCUGAGAAGACUCUAUCUCCACCAUGUUCAUUAUCCAGUUCCUUGGCUCAUGGCCCACUCAGUCUCUGAGCCAGUUCUGCCUACAAGACAGGUUAACAGUAUGGGCUGAGUUCAGCAGUUUCAUCAGAAAAACAUGAGUGCAGCUUCUUCACCCCACCCCCCUGAAAAGGGAGCCAUAAAUGCUGCAGGGUCAAAGCAAGAAUACAGGAAAGGGACCCUCUGGAUGCUGGCAUAUGGGAGAAGCCACCCCCCUCCAAUUUAUAAUAAAUGAAUGUUGGAGUAAAUCUCUUCAUUAACCGGAUCGAGAGAGGAAUUUACACUCGAAAGUAAUCACUCAUAUCUUCAGCCAUAAAAGCCCCAAAGAGUCCACUUUCUGAACAUUCUCUCUAAUGGGGCAGACCUUUGCUGACCAGCUGAGUGCAAGGGUGACUUCAGCAGGUGGAUUCCAUGAAGUGAGCACUUCAGAGCACACACAGCCACGCUGCCUGCAAGCCUGUGGGUGGCCUUGGCAGGCGAAAGCCCGUCCUUCAAGCAACUGAGGCAGGAGCCCAUUAAAGGUGUUAAUUUUACAUGAUGUGGCACGGAGAGUUUAUAAAUAAAUAACAAAUGAACAUUCCCCACGGCUUCUCUCCUCUGAGUCUAUGUACCUGCUGCAGACCUGGCAACAGUGGGAGACUUUCAGAUGCCAGAUCCGGAAUUGCCCUUCAAAAACCAAGGAAGGAGGUAUUUCUGUCACCAAGACUUGACAACUUCUGAUGCCUUCAUCAUUGGGUCCAGUCCCUUUUGAAAAAUAUCCACUAACCUAUCCUCUGUGGUUGGAUGUGCUCAGUUUAAGAUUAUCAUCCUGAGCUGCAAGAACAAAACACAGAUGUUAGAGUUUCAGAAAAAAAUGUACUGUUGGGGACCAUUAGUAAAAAAUACUGUUUAAAAUAUAUAACAUAUGUAACUAUUAAAUACAUAAAAAUCUCAUGUACCAAGAGGCAAAACAUGAUGAAAGUUGCUGAAUAUUUUAAGUACCUAUAUUGCUGCAUAAAAUGGUUCUGUGCGGUAGAAUUUUCUAUUGCAGGAGAUUUAUGAAUUUUUGUCAAAGUGGUAGAUCAUGCUGAAGUCAGGGGAAAUGCUAGCACACUUUAGGUUGCUUUCUAUUUUUAAUUAAGUUUGAAACUGCAUCUUUGCACUUGUGAGUGUGCAUAUAAAUAUAUGUAAGUGCAGAUGUGAUUAACAAUAAUGCUGAUCUAUGCAGACACUCAAAUUCACUCACAAAGUGACCCCCUCCCACUGCAGAGAAAACUUCUUAAUUGAGGUUGUGUUUGUAUAAUCAUAAUGAACUGGAUUAGAAUGGCAAAAUUUUACUAGUGUGGUUCACCCCCUCAUUCUAACAGCCUAAGAAAAAAAGAAUGGAACAAGCCCUUUAGGGUCAUGACCUGAAUUCCCACCCGAGAUGAGCUGUGAUGAUGGUGCUCCUCAUGUUUACCUGUGUCAAUAAAGAUGGAGAGAGACGAAGCUCAUGUCGUUGACAAAAGUCUAUCUACUACUUCUCCCAAGGGAUUAAGAUAGGGAAAGCUCAAUAGCACCCUUGAGAAUUAACUGGCAUCCAAGUUACUCAGAAUCCAAAAUACUAAGCAAGUAUUAACAAAAUGAUAACCAAGAGCAAAUAAUCAGGUCAGAUGCACAGAGUGAAAGUCCAAGGUGAAGAAAAACAAAGCAAAAAAGAAACAGCUAAGAUGCAAGAGGGAACACUCCCUGAACACAACUUGAGUCCAUUCCUAAGCUGCCACCACCCAUCCACGUCUGUUUUGAUCAACAUUUCCUAAAGGUUUCAUCACACCACAAGUUCACACCACGUAACACAGCAUGUAAUUAUAUACUCUUCUGUCCUGUUCUUGCUUAAUGUGUGUUCUCUUUCAUCCCAACUGGAUUUCAAUCCCACUGGAGGUCAGUAACUAUGUCUCAUGUACCUGUGUUUUCCCCAGGGUCUAGCACAGCUUUAUGCACAUUAAAAGUUUCAGUAAUUAUUCUUUGGUUGAGUCAGUAUCGAAUUAUGUUUAGGCUUCUAGAAAGCUCUAUCCGUUUUUCGUCCAUCAUAUUGUAUUUGCUUUCCUUUUCCAAUAUUCUUACAAAGCAUAUAUAUGUAUGCUCUAAAAUACAUGAGUGUAUGCUAUUUACUGCACACUUGAUUCUCUAACUUUUUAUGUGACAAUAUAUACAGAUUGAACCCAUUUUUUCUAAUAGUACAUAAAAUCCCACUGUGCAAGCCUACCACAAUUAUUGAGUCAUACCCAUAUUCAUAGGCAUCUGGAAUGCUAACAUUUACCACAGUGUAAUAACCAAUAUUACACAAAAUAAAAAUUUCUAUUUCCUUUUGUA